rfam:Pseudomonas lutea strain DSM 17257 Contig002, whole genome shotgun sequence.
UUCGGCCCCGCAACGGCUUCUCCGUUGCCCCCUGCUAGCCGUCGCCGACGCUCUCCUUUCGAUUUGCACGCGAUCCUGUCGCCUUCUCUGCGGCGCGGC